CCUGCCUUAUAUCACUGCUAUUGGGGUCCGACUAAGCCAUGCGAGUCGUAGAGGGUUCGGCCCUCGGCAAACGGCUCAGUAACACGUGGGUAACCUACCCUCAGGACAGGGAUAAUCCCGGAAAACUGGGGAUAAUACCUGAUAGGUGGAUAUGUCUGGAAAGGCUUUCCGCCCAAAUACUACGGUGCCCGAGGAUGGGCCUGCGACCGAUUAGGUUGUUGGCGGAGUAAUGGACCACCAAGCCUGCGAUCGGUACGGGCGUUGAGAGACGUAGCCCGGAGAUGGGGACUGAGACACGGCCCCAGGCCCUACGGGGCGCAGCAGGCGCGAAAACUCCGCAAUACACGAAAGUGUGACGGGGGGACCCCUAGUGCUCCCACGCAAGUGGGUGCUUUUGCGAAGUGUAAAUAGCUUUGCGAAUAAAAGCUGGGUAAGACCGGUGCCAGCCGCCGCGGUAACACCGGCAGCUUAAGUGGUGAUCACUAUUAUUGGGCCUAAAGCGUCCGUAGCCUGUUUGGUAAGUCCUUGGGCAAAUCCUGCCGCUUAACGGUAGGAAUUCUGGGGAUACUGCCAGACUCGAGGCCGAGAGAGGUCGGAGGUACUUCUGGGGUAGCGGUGAAAUGCUAUAAUCCUAGGGGGACCACCAGUGGCGAAAGCGUCCGACCAGAGCGGGCCUGACGGUAAGGGACGAAAGCCAGGGGAGCGAACGGGAUUAGAUACCCCGGUAGUCCUGGCCGUAAACGCUGUGGGCUAGGUGUUGCAUGCUCUACGAGGGCGUGCAAUGCCGAAGAGAAGUUGAUAACCCUACCGCCUGGGAAGUACUAUCGCAAGAUAGAAACUUAAAGGAAUUGGCGGGGGAGCACCACAAGGGGUGAAGUCUGCGGUUUAAUUGGAUUCAACGCCGGG
rnacentral:rRNA from 1 species